UACGUAGGUGGCGAGCGUUGUCCGGAUUUAUUGGGCGUAAAGCGCGCGCAGGCGGUGCGGUAAGUCUGUCGUGAAAUCUCCCGGCUCAACUGGGAGGGUGCGGUGGAGACUGCCGGACUGGAGGCACUCAGAGGCCAGUGGAAUUAGAGGUGUAGCGGUGGAAUGCGUAGAUAUCUCUAAGAACACCAGUUGCGAAGGCGGCUGGCUGGGUCCACAUUGACGCUGAGGCUCGAAAGCGUGGGGAGCAAACAGG
rnacentral:rRNA from 1 species